UUGCCUUAGUAACGGCGAGUGAAGCGGCAACAGCUCAAAUUUGAAAUCUGGCCCUCGGGUCCGAAUUGUAAUUUGUAGAGGAUGAUUUUGGUGCGGUAUCUUCCGAGUUCCUUGGAACAGGACGCCUUAGAGGGUGAGAGCCCCGUACGGUUGAAUGCCUAGCCUCUGUAAAUCUCCUUCGACGAGUCGAGUAGUUUGGGAAUGCUGCUCUAAAUGGGAGGUAAAUUUCUUCUAAAGCUAAAUAUUGGCCAGAGACCGAUAGCGCACAAGUAGAGUGAUCGAAAGAUGAAAAGCACUUUGAAAAGAGGGUUAAAUAGCACGUGAAAUUGUUGAAAGGGAAGGAUUUGUGACCAGACUUUUUCUGGGCGGAUCAUCCGGGGUUCUCUCCGGUGCACUUUGCCCAGUAAAGGCCAGCAUCGAUUUUCGGCGGCGGAUAAAAGCAGUGGGAAUGUGGCUCCCUACGGGGAGUGUUAUAGCCCAUUGUAUAAUACGCUGCUGGGGAUCGAGGUACGCGCUUCUGCAAGGAUGCUGGCGUAAUGGUUAUCAAUCACCCGUCUUGAAACACGGACCAAGGAGUCGAACAUUUAUGCGAGUGUUUGGGUGUUAAACCCUCACGCGUAAUGAAAGUGAACGGAGGUGAGAGCCCGUACGGGUGCAUCAUCGACCGAUCCUGAAGUUUUCGGAUGGAUUUGAGUAAGAGCAUAACUGUUCGGACCCGAAAGAUGGUGAACUAUGCGUGGAUAGGGUGAAGCCAGAGGAAACUCUGGUGGAGGCUCGCAGCGGUUCUGACGUGCAAAUCGAUCGUCAAAUCUGCGCAUGGGGGCGAAAGACU
rnacentral:rRNA from 1 species